rnacentral:misc_RNA from 1 species
GAUGAAGAACGUAGCGAAAUGCGAUACGUAAUGUGAAUUGCAGAAUUCAGUGAAUCAUCGAAUCUUUGAACGCACAUUGCGCCCGCCAGCACUCUGGCGGGCAUGCCUGUUCGAGCGUCAUUUCAACCAUCAAGCCCCAGGCUUGCGUUGGAGCCCUGCGGCUGCCGCAGCCUCCUAAAAGCAGUGGCGGGCUCGCUAUCACACCGAGUGCAGUAGAUUACUCUUCGCUCAGGGCGUGCAGCGGGUUCCGGCCGUGAAACCCCCUACUUUUAAAGGUUGACCUCGGAUCAGGUAGGAAUUCCCGCUGAACUUAAGCAUAUCAAUAAGCGGAGGA